rnacentral:rRNA from 1 species
GAUGAACGCUGGCGGCGUGCCUAAUACAUGCAAGUCGAGCGAACGGACGAGAAGCUUGCUUUUCUGAUGUUAGCGGCGGACGGGUGAGUAACACGUGGAUAACCUACCUAUAAGACUGGGAUAACUUCGGGAAACCGGAGCUAAUACCGGAUAAUAUUUUGAACCGCAUGGUUCAAAAGUGAAAGACGGUCUUGCUGUCACUUAUAGAUGGAUCCGCGCUGCAUUAGCUAGUUGGUAAGGUAACGGCUUACCAAGGCAACGAUGCAUAGCCGACCUGAGAGGGUGAUCGGCCACACUGGAACUGAGACACGGUCCAGACUCCUACGGGAGGCAGCAGUAGGGAAUCUUCCGCGAUGGGCGAAAGCCUGACGGAGCAACGCCGCGUGAGUGAUGAAGGUCUUCGGAUCGUAAAACUCUGUUAUUAGGGAAGAACAUAUGUGUAAGUAACUGUGCACAUCUUGACGGUACCUAAUCAGAAAGCCACGGCUAACUACGUGCCAGCAGCCGCGGUAAUACGUAGGUGGCAAGCGUUAUCCGGAAUUAUUGGGCGUAAAGCGCGCGUAGGCGGUUUUUUAAGUCUGAUGUGAAAGCCCACGGCUCAACCGUGGAGGGUCAUUGGAAACUGGAAAACUUGAGUGCAGAAGAGGAAAGUGGAAUUCCAUGUGCAGCGGUGAAAUGCGCAGAGAUGUGGAGGAACACCAGUGGCGAAGGCGACUUUCUGGUCUGUAACUGACGCUGAUGUGCGAAAGCGUGGGGAUCAAACAGGAUUAGAUACCCUGGUAGUCCACGCCGUAAACGAUGAGUGCUAAGUGUUAGGGGGUUUCCGCCCCUUAGUGCUGCAGCUAACGCAUUAAGCACUCCGCCUGGGGAGUACGACCGCAAGGUUGAAACUCAAAGGAAUUGACGGGGGCCCGCACAAGCGGUGGAGCAUGUGGUUUAAUUCGAAGCAACGCGAAGAACCUUACCAAAUCUUGACAUCCUUUGACAACUCUAGAGAUAGAGCCUUCCCCUUCGGGGGACAAAGUGACAGGUGGUGCAUGGUUGUCGUCAGCUCGUGUCGUGAGAUGUUGGGUUAAGUCCCGCAACGAGCGCAACCCUUAAGCUUAGUUGCCAUCAUUAAGUUGGGCACUCUAAGUUGACUGCCGGUGACAAACCGGAGGAAGGUGGGGAUGACGUCAAAUCAUCAUGCCCCUUAUGAUUUGGGCUACACACGUGCUACAAUGGACAAUACAAAGGGCAGCGAAACCGCGAGGUCAAGCAAAUCCCAUAAAGUUGUUCUCAGUUCGGAUUGUAGUCUGCAACUCGACUACAUGAAGCUGGAAUCGCUAGUAAUCGUAGAUCAGCAUGCUACGGUGAAUACGUUCCCGGGUCU